GGGACAAGGCACAUAACGAUUCGCUCCCAAAUCCCGGUCGACCAAAUCCCUAACCCUCGUUCCCCAUUCACUGCAGCGGCAGGGCGAGGCAAUAUUGCUCACGGUCGGCGGCGAGGCCGUAUCCUUGCACCACGGCGGCAAGCCUCUGGAGCUCAGAUGGGAGGAUCUGGCAUUCCGCGGAUGGUCGACCGCGGGGUGAAGAUGGAGGACGACGGGGAGCCAUGGGCAAAGAUUACGUCUGUCGUCUAUUGGCGCAAAAAGUCAGGACCAUGAGAUGCCAGAUGUGGUGGGUGCAUGCCGCGGCACGAGGUAGAUCACACCUUGCUUGCAAGAAAGAGGUCCUGGAGCAGAGUCUAAAGGAGAAAGAGGUCCUGGAGCAGAGUCUUUGGUUUAGUUGCAAUCAUGUUUGCAAUGGCUGGGAGGUCCUGAUGCAUGAAUGAGCAAUGUUGAAGCUCUUCUUUUGGUGAACUCAGUGUGCUGUAGUAGCUACUUUGUAUGUGUACUGAAUGAAAAUGGCAAUACAAUGAAGCUUCUGAAUUUUA